UGGUUCCAUAGGUCGACUCGAGACGCACAAGGACAUGGGACGCAUACAGCCU
rnacentral:sRNA from 1 species